rnacentral:lncRNA from 1 species
CAAGCCAAUCUAAAUUUAAAAAGUUGUCGCUUGCCUGUCCAGAUGACGUAGAUGUUUUGGUCGCGGUAAUAAUUGCUGGCCCCGGGGGUGGGUGGAAACUCCCUCGUCCUGUCUGUGUGUCAGAACCCGUGAAACCCAUGCAACCCUCAGCAAUCCCAUCGAGGCCACCUUUCAGCUCGCGCUGAGAUUUGAACUCAGGUCGGUGGAUUCAGAGUCCACAGUGCUAACCACUACACCACGCGAGCAGUGUACUGCAUGUACGACAUCUUAAUCCUAAUCAUAAUGACCCAGUACAGUACUUCCGUAACGCAACGCACAACACGCCGUUCUGCUGCCUAUCUACCUACCUUCCUAGUGUUGCUGUGGAAAUAUUGGAGUGACACAAUGUUUUGGUCCGGCAAGCAAUCCAUUUUUGGCUGUUGGAGAGGCGGUGUAGCAAGCUACAUUUACCUUAGAAUAUCUUUAAGCUAUUAAAGCUUAAUCACAGUAACGGUACGGUCCCGUAUUUACGAACCAUACUCGUUAACUGUACGAACUCACUUUCUGGUACGCUAUCACAACCUAGCGUACGGCACCAAGACUCCAGGAAUGGAGAUGGCGGCAGGUGGGCCGCAUUUAAGCCACCCAGGUGAAGUGCUUCGGCCAGACACUUAACGUAUCACUAUACUAGUGUUCAGGGUUCAAGACCUUGCUGUCACCGUUCUCGACGUAUGUCUUCGAAUCCCGACUUCCCUUGUCUCUUCUCACGCCUAACGCUGGGUCGCCAAUCGUGGACGAGACCCUCUACUUCCGCUAAAACAGCUAAGGUAAGAGACGGCUGUUACAUUUUGGUAUCGACGAUCAUUUGUUCGGUCCUCGCCUCACAUUGCGCCGCAGCAGUUACUCGCCCAUUGUCUGAGUCUUAGACUCGACUUUCUGGAAAUGGUUCCUAAGCCUAUAGCUAAGACUAAGGCUGUUUCUUUGAGCGAUGCUAAGCACGUUCCUAUUCCGCGACCGAAGUCUAAGACUACGGCGCAAAUUCCUGCCGAUGCUACAACCGCUUCGNNNNNNNNNNNNNNNNNNNNNNNNNNNNNNNNNNNNNNNNNNNNNNNNNNCUCAGCAAUCCCAUCGAGGCCACCUUUCAGCUCGCGCUGAGAUUUGAACUCAGGUCGGUGGAUUCAGAGUCCACAGUGCUAACCACUACACCACGCGAGCAGUGUACUGCAUGUACGACAUCUUAAUCCUAAUCAUAAUGACCCAGUACAGUACUUCCGUAACGCAACGCACAACACGCCGUUCUGCCGCCUAUCUACCUACCUUCCUAGUGUUGCUGUGGAAAUAUUGGAGUGACACAAUGUUUUGGUCCGGCAAGCAAUCCAUUUUUGGCUGUUGGAGAGGCGGGCACCCGGGUAUAUAUUAGAGGCCUCUAGGGGGCCAGAUUUCUUUGUCCAGGGUUCGUGAACGUUGGUGCAUGCCUAUCUGCUGCAUCUACCUACCUGCUGCAUCUAUGACUCCCGACGACCUGACUGCCUGGCUAUCUGCCUGCCUGCAUCGGUAUGUAGGCUACGCCAGGUGGGAGCCAAAUACAGGUGUUGCCAUCAAGCAACCGAACAAGUUGCACUCACAGGGCACAUACUUGUACUUUUGUUGCAACCAAAUACAAGGCUGUCCCUUCGUAAGCAACUGCAAGGAGCUACAGAUUUGUAACAAAUAACUGAAACAAGCCAAGCUCUCAGAAACAGGGCAAAGGCAGGCACCUACACUGGCUGUUCACCCACAAUUCGUUGGAUAUUGCUCGGCCAGAUGCAACUGGGCCGCAUAUGUCCAGCUAGGUCUGCCAGGAUGUGACGCACAUCGAUGUGAUAUGAAAGGAUACUUCUACACAUACCAAGAUAACCACAAACGUUGUUGCAAGUGUAUUUCAAAGUUGUGUACACACUUUGUGUACGUACUCACAUAGUUGGAUAGUUGUGUACUCAUAUAGUUGGGUAGUUGGGUAGUUGGGCAGUUGGGUAGUUGCAUAAUUGUGUAAUUGCAUAAUUGUGUAGUUGCACACUUGCGUAGUUGGGUAGUUGUGUAUUUGCAUAGUUGGUUAGUUGCGCAGUUGCGUAAAUAAGGAGUUGGGUAGUUGUACAGUUGGGUAGCUGCAUAUUGCAUAGUCUGUUGUUGGCUAGUUGGGUAGUAGUUGGCUACUUGCAUAGUUGGUUAGUUAUGUUGAUGGGUAGUUGGGUAGUUGUGUAGUUGGAAGUUGGGAAGUUGCAUAGUUGCGCACUUGUGUCGUUGCAUAACUGCGUAGUUGGGUACUUGUGUCGUUGCGUCGAUGUGUCGUUGCGUCGAUGUGUCGUUGCCUAGUUGCGUAGUUGGGCGCAAACUAGUUCAUGACUUGGAGAGUGGGGGCCGUGUGGGUCGCGAUCCCCAUGUUAUGUACGAGGUACGACAAUGCCAGGGCUCAUUUCCGCGGUCGUGCCCGAGUGGUUAAGGGGUCUGACUAGAAAUCAGAUGGGAUCUCCCGCAUAGGUUCGAAUCCUGUCGACCGCGUCCGGUGGAGAAAGUAUUUGGCCAAUUUUAAGACGUGNGGGCAAGAGUGCAAUGAAGUAACACGUGUUAGACCAGUGCACGUGAAGACCUGCAGGACACUCUCUACUUGAAUGCAUUAUCAACACCAAAAUAUAGAGUAUAUGCAUGUAGCUCUGCAGCUGACUGAGAAAUCUCUGCUGGGUCUGAAGAACAACCUAAAAUGAAGAGGGUGCUGAACCGUACCAUCAGGUGUUAUGGAUGCUAGACCUUGAAAAAUUGCUGGAACGUUUCAGCAAAGAACUUGGCACGGCUGACAAGGAUGAAGAUGCCUCAAAACACUGGUGAAGGCGUAGGAACUGCCAGGCUAGUUGUCACAGAUGAAGCUUUACCCCCUUCAGCUAUUAGAUAGGAUUGUAAGUAUACACAAUGCCCCUGGCAGGCACAUACUGUUGCGUGGAUGGGCUGGAGAAUGCCAGGGUGUAUCUACAUGCGCUCAUUGCCUACCUACCUCCCUGCUGCAUCUAUGAUUCCCGACCACCUGCCUGCCUGGCUAUCUGCCUGCCUGCAUCGGUAUGUUGGCUACGCCAGGUGGGAGCCAAAUACAGGUGUUGCCAUCAAGCAACCAAACAAGCAUCAAGCAGCACUCACGGGGCGUAUACUUGGUACCGGUGUUGCAAUGCAAUAUAGGGCUGUCCCUUCAGAAGCAAGUGUAACACAAAUGACUGAAGCAAGCCAAUCUAAAUUUAAAAAGUUGUCGCUUGCCUGUCCAGAUGACGUAGAUGUUUUGGUCGCGGUAAUAAUUGCUGGCCCCGGGGGUGGGUGGGAACUCCCUCAUCCUGUCUGAGUGUCAGAACCCGUGAAACCCGUGCAACCCUCAGCAUUCCCAUCGAGGCCACCUUUCAGCUCGCGCUGAGAUUUGAACUCAGGUCGGUGGAUUCAGAGUCCACAGUGCUAACCACUACACCACGCGAGCAGUGUACUGCAUGUACGACAUCUUAAUCCUAAUCAUAAUGACCCAGUACAGUACUUCCGUAACGCAACGCACAACACGCCGUUCUGCCGCCUAUCUACCUACCUUCCUAGUGUUGCUGUGGAAAUAUUGGAGUGACACAAUGUUUUGGUCCGGCAAGCAAUCCAUUUUUGGCUGUUGGAGAGGCGGGCACCCGGGUAUAUAUUAGAGGCCUCUAGGGGGCCAGAUUUCUUUGUCCAGGGUUCGUGAACGUUGGUGCAUGCCUAUCUGCUGCAUCUACCUACCUGCUGCAUCUAUGACUCCCGACGACCUGACUGCCUGGCUAUCUGCCUGCCUGCAUCGGUAUGUAGGCUACGCCAGGUGGGAGCCAAAUACAGGUGUUGCCAUCAAGCAACCGAACAAGUUGCACUCACAGGGCACAUACUUGUACUUUUGUUGCAACCAAAUACAAGGCUGUCCCUUCGUAAGCAACUGCAAGGAGCUACAGAUUUGUAACAAAUAACUGAAACAAGCCAAGCUCUCAGAAACAGGGCAAAGGCAGGCACCUACACUGGCUGUUCACCCACAAUUCGUUGGAUAUUGCU